rnacentral:rRNA from 1 species
GAUGAACGCUGGCGGCGUGCCUAAUACAUGCAAGUCGAGCGAACGGACGAGAAGCUUGCUCCUCUGACGUUAGCGGCGGACGGGUGAGUAACACGUGGAUAACCUACCUAUAAGACUGGGAUAACUUCGGGAAACCGUAGCUAAUACCGGAUAAUAUAUUGAACCGCAUGGUUCAAUAGUGAAAGACGGUCUUGCUGUCACUUAUAGAUGGAUCCGCGCUGCAUUAGCUAGUUGGUAAGGUAACGGCUUACCAAGGCGACGAUGCAUAGCCGACCUGAGAGGGUGAUCGGCCACACUGGAACUGAGACACGGUCCAGACUCCUACGGGAGGCAGCAGUAGGGAAUCUUCCGCAAUGGGCGAAAGCCUGACGGAGCAACGCCGCGUGAGUGAUGAAGGUCUUCGGAUCGUAAAACUCUGUUAUUAGGGAAGAACAAAUGUGUAAGUAACUGUGCACAUCUUGACGGUACCUAAUCAGAAAGCCACGGCUAACUACGUG